GGAGAUUAGUAUGGAAAAUCUUGAAUUUGUACUUUUGUUGUAAAUUUUGGAUAAAAUGAAUACAAAUUGAAUGGAAUUGUCAUUUUUAUCUGUUUUAAUGGAACUGUUUAUUAUUCUUUUUAAAUGAGAUAAGAUAUGACUGGAUACAGGUUGUUUAUUAGGCCUUAUCUGAAAGAAGUAGAGAAAGAGGUAAACCAGCAUGUAGGGGUGGGGACAAAAAAUGAUCCAUGUUUCUUUAAGUAAUGGAGACAUACAAGUAUUUAUUAUAGCCAAGGUUUUGACAAUAACCCAGUAUUGCAUUAAUAGUGUCAUAAGAAUUCUUUAUAGCUUUAUGUCACAGUAUAGGGAAAACGGUAGUAUUACAUUUUCCUAGCAUUAGGUUGGCCUUUUGUGUACCCAAGACAGGUGAAGGAAGUCAACUUAGGAGCGCCGUGAUUGGAUGUAAGGGUACAAUAUAUUUUUUUUAUUUAUCUAUGAAUAACUGCAGUGUUUAUAUUUACAAUAUAAAUUUUAAAACCUAUUGAAAUAUUUUCUAGAGAAUUAUUCGAAAAGGCUUUCAAAAUUUUAUAAAUUUGCUGCAAAAUGACGGUGGGCAUGGAUAACAUAAACAAGCUCCGUUGGAAAUUGGUCAUGAUACUAUUUGGCUUCAAUUUUUAAAAUAGAGUUAUAAAGUACUAACACCACACAUAACUGUUUUAUCCAGGUUUUUAUUAUAAAAAGUGGUAAAAUUAGAAAAUGUUAGUAUUGUCGCCUAUGGCAGAAUAAAUAGUACCGUUUUCCUACAAA
rnacentral:lncRNA from 1 species